rnacentral:lncRNA from 1 species
GAGAGACACAACCACCUCAACAAGAGACAACAUUACAACAAGAUAAUCUAGAAAAUUUGUGGAACGAGUCAGCCUUCAAUGGUGACCUCAACAACAACGUCGAAGGUAUGAUAAAUGAGGCAAGCAUUGGUUCGAGGGGACGCCAGCUAGAGGUUGGCAUAUGGACCAAAGAACUGGACAAACGAACCAAAAUAGAAGCAUGUUCAACCCCCUACUCAUAGGUAACAUAUGACUGCACCCUCAACAACGUUUCUAUUAUUGCAUCAUUUACUUUCACAAAGACAACAUUGAAAAUCUUCCUCAUUCUUAGGUUGUAUAAGGUCCUCCUACCUAAACUUCCUC